UUCCCAGACCGGGCAUGGGCUUUGUGUUUAUUGAGCGAAAAUAUCUAAAGCUCCAUAAGGCUCCGGCUGCGGGGUGGGGGUGAACCAUGCUGUACUCUUUCACCACAACUUUCUCUUACUCUUUCUACCUGUUUCUGUUGUACCUG